rnacentral:lncRNA from 1 species
CAAAAGUCAAAGAAACCAUCAAAAAUGAAUCUGGUACUGGAGGCAGUGAUGCAUGCCUAUACUCCUAUCUUCUCUGGAAGCUGAGGCAGGAGGAUCGCAAGUUCAAGGCUAGCCUGGGAAACUUAGACCCUGUCUGUAAAGAAAAAAUAAAAAGGGGUGGAGAUGUAGCUCAGUAAAAUAAAAUAAAAUCUGGAGGUGUGUGUGUGCAUGGAUCUUUCCCCCUCUGAGAUAUGAAGAGAAAUAUUUUAUUCCCUAGUAUAAACAAUUUCUCCUUGGGAAUACAAAGGAGGAUAUAGGUGUUUACCCUUUGGAAUAUAAAUAAAUUUCUCCACAGGAAAGAUAAGGCCAGAACUCUAGCUUUACCUCCUAGAGAUGUCUUCAUGGCCCUAGGGGUUCACUCCUCCUUAAGAUGAAAACACACAUACUUUGGGGGAGGUAAAUCUCUCUGGAAUUCUCAUUAGCUAAUCACUCUUCAAUUAAUUCCAGGCUUGGCCUUUCAACUCAGAUCCCAAAUCUCAGUAAAAUUUGUUCAAAAAACCUUAAUCAUGCAGAAAUAGAAUACUUUGCCUAUGUUGGCUGAACCACAGGCCUACCAUCUUAAAUGUCUCAUGAGCUGCUUGACUUAUGUGGCCUUCUUGGUUCUGAUUGUAAGCAUUUGCCUCUGAUGAGAUUUAGGAACAUGACACUCCCAAAUAUGGCAUUUUAGAUUUGAGAAGACAGCAGAAGCAGAAAGGACUCCCUGACCUCUUCCCCUUCCCCUCUGAAGUAGACCAUGAAAGAAUGAUCUUCUUUUGAAGCAAAUCAUGAGGUAGAAUAGAAGAGAUAAAGGCAGGUUGAAAGGAGACAAAAGGAAGGAAAAGGAGUACAAUUUUAAUCUAAAAGUCUUGUGCUAAAAUUCCUCAUACCUUCACUUCCAAUGUCAGUUUUUCCUCAGGCCCUUUACUCUCAAAUUUCUGAGAAUUCUACAGAGUUUUACUCAUUAUCUUCAACUUUCUGGAAAUUCACUAUAUACAUGUCCAUUACUGCAUACAUUUUAAAAAAUAGAUUGAGCAAAUUAAGAUAUGAAACUGGGGAAAUAUAGUGUAUUUCCCCAGUGUUAUCUAAUGAUCCAACAAUGGGGAAGACAUCAACCUAAGGAUCCCGAGAACUGCCAUACCACCACAAAACAUCUUGUGAUCACCAGACUGAUGUCAUCCCCACAUACCUUCCCAUGCCCACCACUCACAAGGUUUCCUUUAAGAGCCUGAGGCUGAAAAGCCUGUCUCACUUUCAAAAUAGCCUGCAUUCUUCUUUGAAUGUGUACUCCUUGCUUUUCUGAAUAACUCUCCGUUGGUGCCUCUACUUGAUAUGUCUUGAAAUUCCUUUCUCCAGUGUUUUUCAAGGAUCCUGUUUUCCUGAGUUGAGGGCCCCCUCUCCAGGAUUUCCUUGACACACCCCCACUCCAGUGACAAUAAGACUUUCAUUCAAGAGGUAACUUUUCUCUAUCUGAAUUAAAGGAAUAUCCUUUUUUCUGAAGACACAGGGACACAGAGUAGAACAUGAACAAACAACUUGCUCAAUUACUCCCAGUUUUUCACUAUUAGAUCAUUGUUAUCGUUUGGAUGUGAGGUGCCCCCCAAAAGCUCACAUAUGAGACAACCUUCUAAGGACUAAGACCUCAAGCCCUGAGGAAUGGAGCUGGCCUUCUAUGGACUAAGUUCUCUGAAACCAUGAGCCCUCAAAUAAACUUUUCCUCCUCUACAAUUGUUCUGGUUGGAUCUUUUAGUGAACUAAUUAAAACAAUCAUACAUAGCCUCUUGGUUCAGUCCUGCUUCUCCACAACUGUCCAUGCUGCAUCAAAGUUAGCAUAAAAAUACAUAGCUUUCCCUGCUUUUUUCCUUUCCUUAUGAAGGUUCCCAUGUCAUGUAAAACUUGUAUUAAGUAAUUCUGUGUGCUUUUCUCUUGUUAAGCUGUGCUUUGUUAUAGGUGCUUCAACCAUGAACCUACCAAUGAAUGAGAAACGACAUAUUUUUUCUCUUGUACCUCCAAGUUAUUAUCAAUACUUUGAUCAAAGAAUGUAUGUGUGCAUGACCAAUGUAAUUCUGCAACCUGUACACUUAGAAAAAUGAGAACUUAUAUC